AGGAAAUAAUUUUUUAAAUUUUCAUCUUCAGUUUUGAAAGACUUAGUUCUUAUAAGUUUUUCUUUUUUAAGGAAAAGAAAAAUGGGCCUAUAGCUCAGUUGGUUAGAGCACACGCCUGAUAAGCGUGAGGUCGAUGGUUCAAGUCCAUUUAGGCCCACCA
rnacentral:tRNA from 1 species